rnacentral:rRNA from 1 species
UACGUAGGGUGCGAGCGUUAAUCGGAAUUACUGGGCGUAAAGCGUGCGCAGGCGGUGAUGUAAGACAGAUGUGAAAUGCCCGGGCUCAACCUGGGACCUGCAUUUGUGACUGCAUCGCUAGAGUACGGUAGAGGGGGAUGGAAUUCCGCGUGUAGCAGUGAAAUGCGUAGAUAUGCGGAGGAACACCGAUGGCGAAGGCAAUCCCCUGGGCCUGCACUGACGCUCAUGCACGAAAGCGUGGGGGGCAAACAGG